rnacentral:rRNA from 1 species
UUUUUUGUGGUUCUUUUCAUAUAAGAGGAGGAAAAGAAACCAACUGGGAUUACCUUUGUAACGGCGAGUGAAGCGGUAAAAGCUCAAAUUUGAAAUCUGGUACUUUCAGUGCCCGAGUUGUAAUUUGUAGAAUUUGUCUUUGAUUAGGUCCUUGUCUAUGUUCCUUGGAACAGGACGUCAUAGAGGGUGAGAAUCCCGUUUGGCGAGGAUACCUUUUCUUUGUAAGACUUUUUCGAAGAGUCGAGUUGUUUGGGAAUGCAGCUCAAAGUGGGUGGUAAAUUCCAUCUAAAGCUAAAUAUUGGCGAGAGACCGAUAGCGAACAAGUACAGUGAUGGAAAGAUGAAAAGAACUUUGAAAAGAGAGUGAAAAAGUACGUGAAAUUGUUGAAAGGGAAGGGCAUUUGAUCAGACAUGGUGUUUUUUGCAUGCACUCGCCUCUCGUGGGCUUGGGCCUCUCAAAAAUUUCACUGGGCCAACAUCAAUUCUGGCAGCAGGAUAAAUCAUUAAGAAUGUAGCUACUUCGGUAGUGUUAUAGCUUUUUGGAAUACUGUUAGCCGGGAUUGAGGACUGCGCUCGGCAAGGAUGUGCAUAAGACGGGAGUG